CACGUAGGGGCCAAGCGUUGUCCGGAUUUAUUGGGCGUAAAGAGCUCGUAGGCGGUUGGGUAAGUCGGGUGUGAAAACUCUGGGCUCAACUCAGAGACGCCACCCGAUACUGCUCUGACUUGAGUCCGGUAGGGGAGUGGGGAAUUCCUGGUGUAGCGGUGAAAUGCGCAGAUAUCAGGAGGAACACCGGUGGCGAAGGCGGGUCUCUGGGCCGUAACUGACGCUGAGGAGCGAAAGCGUGGGGAGCGAACAGG
rnacentral:rRNA from 1 species